AACGAACGCUGGCGGCAUGCCUAACACAUGCAAGUCGAACGAGACCUUCGGGUCUAGUGGCGCACGGGUGCGUAACGCGUGGGAACCUGCCCUUAGGUUCGGAAUAACUCCCCGAAAGGGGUGCUAAUACCGGAUAAUGUCUUCGGACCAAAGAUUUAUCGCCUUUGGAUGGGCCCGCGUUGGAUUAGCUAGUUGGUAGGGUAAAAGCCUACCAAGGCGACGAUCCAUAGCUGGUCUGAGAGGAUGAUCAGCCACACUGGGACUGAGACACGGCCCAGACUCCUACGGGAGGCAGCAGUGGGGAAUAUUGGACAAUGGGCGAAAGCCUGAUCCAGCAAUGCCGCGUGAGUGAUGAAGGCCUUAGGCUUGUAAAGCUCUUUUACCCGGGAUGAUAAUGACAGUACCGGGAGAAUAAGCUCCGGCUAACUCCGUG
rnacentral:rRNA from 1 species